rnacentral:rRNA from 1 species
UGAGUAACCUGCCCUUAACUCUGGGAUAAGCCUGGGAAACUGGGUCUAAUACCGGAUAUGACUCCUCAUCGCAUGGUGGGGGGUGGAAAGCUUUUUUGUGGUUUUGGAUGGACUCGUGGCCUAUCAGCUUGUUGGUGAGGUAAUGGCUCACCAAGGCGACGACGGGUAGCCGGCCUGAGAGGGUGACCGGCCACACUGGGACUGAGACACGGCCCAGACUCCUACGGGAGGCAG